rnacentral:rRNA from 1 species
AUUGAACGCUGGCGGCAGGCUUAACACAUGCAAGUCGAGCGGGGUGAUGGUGCUUGCACUAUCACUUAGCGGCGGACGGGUGAGUAAUGCUUAGGAAUCUGCCUAUUAGUGGGGGACAACAUCUCGAAAGGGAUGCUAAUACCGCAUACGUCCUACGGGAGAAAGCAGGGGAUCACUUGUGACCUUGCGCUAAUAGAUGAGCCUAAGUCGGAUUAGCUAGUUGGUGGGGUAAAGGCCUACCAAGGCGACGAUCUGUAGCGGGUCUGAGAGGCAGAUCCGGCACCCUGGGACUGAGACACGGCCCAGACUCCUACGGGAGGCAGCAGUGGGGAAUAUUGGACAAUGGGGGGAACCCUGAUCCAGCCAUGCCGCGUGUGUGAAGAAGGCCUUAUGGUUGUAAAGCACUUUAAGCGAGGAGGAGGCUCUUUUGGUUAAUACCCAAGAUGAGUGGACGUUACUCGCAGAAUAAGCACCGGCUAACUCUGUGCCAGCCGCCGCAGUAA